rnacentral:rRNA from 1 species
GACGAACGCUGGCGGCGUGCUUAACACAUGCAAGUCGAACGGAAAGGCCCUGCUUUUGUGGGUUGCUCGAGUGGCGAACGGGUGAGUAACACGUGAGUAACCUGCCCUUGACUUUGGGAUAACUUCAGGAAACUGGGGCUAAUACCGGAUAGGAGCUCCUGCUGCAUGGUGGGGGUUGGAAAGUUUCGGCGGUUGGGGAUGGACUCGCGGCUUAUCAGCUUGUUGGUGGGGUAGUGGCUUACCAAGGCUUUGACGGGUAGCCGGCCUGAGAGGGUGACCGGCGACAUUGGGACUGAGAUACGGACCAGACUCCUACGGGAGGCAGCAGUGGGGAAUAUUGCGCAAUGGGCGGAAGCCUGAUGCAGCAACGCCGCGUGCGGGAUGACGGCCUUCGGGUUGUAAACCGCUUUCGCCUGUGACGAAGCGUGAGUGACGGUAAUGGGUAAAGAAGCACCGGCUAACUACGUG